CUUGGGGCUUAACCCUGAGCGUGCUUUCGAUACGGGUUGACUUGAGGAAGGUAGGGGAGAAUGGAAUUCCUGGUGGAGCGGUGGAAUGCGCAGAUAUCAGGAGGAACACCAGUGGCGAAGGCGGUUCUCUGGGCCUUUCCUGACGCUGAGGAGCGAAAGCGUGGGGAGCGAACAGGCUUAGAUACCCUGGUAGUCCACGCUGUAAACGGUGGGUACUAGGUGUGGGGUCCAUUCCACGGGUUCCGUGCCGUAGCUAACGCUUUAAGUACCCCGCCUGGGGAGUACGGCCGCAAGGCUAAAACUCAAAGGAAUUGACGGGGCCCCGCACAAGCGGCGGAGCAUGCGGAUUAAUUCGAUGCAACGCGUAGAACCUUACCUGGGUUUGACAUGGAUCGGGAGUGCUCAGAGAUGGGUGUGCCUCUUUUGGGGUCGGUUCACAGGUGGUGCAUGGCUGUCGUCAGCUCGUGUCGUGAGAUGUUGGGUUAAGUCCCGCAACGAGCGCAACCCUUGUUCACUGUUGCCAGCACGUUAUGGUGGGGACUCAGUGGAGACCGCCGGGGUCAACUCGGAGGAAGGUGGGGAUGACGUCAAGUCAUCAUGCCCCUUAUGUCCAGGGCUUCACGCAUGCUACAAUGGCUGGUACAGAGAGUGGCGAGCCUGUGAGGGUGAGCGAAUCUCGGAAAGCCGGUCUCAGUUCGGAUUGGGGUCUGCAACUCGACCUCAUGAAGUCGGAGUCGCUAGUAAUCGCAGAUCAGCAACGCUGCGGUGAAUACGUUCCCGGGGCUUGUACACACCGCCCGUCAAGUCAUGAAAGUUGGUAACACCCGAAGCCGGUGGCCUAACCGUUGUGGGGGAGCCGUCGAAGGUGGGACUGCUGAUUAGGACUAAGUCG
rnacentral:rRNA from 1 species